UGGGGAAUAUUGCACAAUGGGCGCAAGCCUGAUGCAGCAACGCCGCGUGAGGGACGACGGCCUUCGGGUUGUAAACCUCUUUUAGUAGGGAAGAAGCGAAAGUGACGGUACCUGCAGAAAAAGCACCGGCUAACUACGUGCCAGCAGCCGCGGUAAUACGUAGGGUGCGAGCGUUGUCCGGAAUUAUUGGGCGUAAAGAGCUCGUAGGCGGUCUGUCGCGUCUGCUGUGAAAACCCGAGGCUCAACCUCGGGCCUGCAGUGGGUACGGGCAGACUAGAGUGCGGUAGGGGAGAAUGGAAUUCCUGGUGUAGCGGUGGAAUGCGCAGAUAUCAGGAGGAACACCGAUGGCGAAGGCAGUUCUCUGGGCCGUAACUGACGCUGAGGAGCGAAAGCGUGGGGAGCGAACAGGAUUAGAUACCCUGGUAGUCCACGCCGUAAACGUUGGGCGCUAGAUGUGGGGACCAUUCCACGGUUUCCGUGUCGCAGCUAUCGCAUUAAGCGCCCCGCCUGGGGAGUACGGCCGCAAGGCU
rnacentral:rRNA from 1 species